rnacentral:rRNA from 1 species
AGUCAAUAGAUACCCCGGUAGUCCACGCCCUAAACGAUGUCAACUAGGUGUUGGGUGGGUAAAACCAUUUAGUACCGGAGCUAAACGCGUGAAAGUUGACCGCCUGGGGAGUACGGCCGCAAGGUUAAAACUCAAAGGAAUUGACGGGGACCCGCACAAGCGGUGGAUGAUGUGGAUUAAUUCGAUGCAACGCGAAAAACCUCACCUACCCUUGACAUGCCAGGAACUUGCCAGAGAUGGCUUGGUGCCCGAAAGGGAGCCUGGACACAGGUGCUGCAUGGCUGUCGUCAGCUCGUGUCGUGAGAUGUUGGGUCAAGUCCCGCAACGAGCGCAACCCUUGUCGUUGAUUGCCAUCAUUUGGUUGGGCACUUUAACGAGACUGCCGGUGACAAACCGGAGGAAGGUGGGGAUGACGUCAAGUCCUCAUGGCCCUUAUGGGUAGGGCUUCACACGUCAUACAAUGGUCGGUACAGAGGGUUGCCAAGCCGCGAGGCGGAGCCAAUCCCAGAAAGCCGAUCGUAGUCCGGAUCGUAGGCUGCAACUCG